GACGAACGCUGGCGGCGUGCUUAACACAUGCAAGUCGAGCGGAGCGGCGAACGGGUGAGUAAAGCGUGAGUAAAUGCCCCCCUCUCUGGGAUAACAGUUGGAAAAGGCUGCUAAUACCGGAAAGUGGGGGAUGACUCGCGUCCUAUCAGCUUGUUGGUGGGGUAGUGGCCUACCAAGGCGACGACGGGUAGCCGGCCUGAGAGGGCGACCGGCCACAUUGGGCUGAGGUACGGGCCAAAAUCCUUCCGGGGGCAGGAGGGGGGAAUAUUGCAACAUGGGGCAAACCCUGAGGCAGCAACGCGCGUGCGGGAUGACGGCCUUCGGGUUGUAAACCGCGUUCAGCCAUGACGCGGUAGUGGCAGAAGAAGCACCGGCUAACUACGUGCCAGCAGCCGCGGUAAUUC
rnacentral:rRNA from 1 species